rnacentral:tRNA from 2 species
GGGGGUAUAGCAUAAAGGCUAAUGCGUCGGUCUGAAAAUUCGUUCAUGCGGGUUCGAUUCCCGCUACCUCCACCA